rnacentral:rRNA from 1 species
AUACGAAGGGUGCAAGCGUUACUCGGAAUUACUGGGCGUAAAGCGUGCGUAGGUGGUUGUUUAAGUCUGUCGUGAAAGCCCUGGGCUCAACCUGGGAAUGGCGGUUGAAACUGGGCGACUAGCGUGGGGACGAGGGGAGGGGAAUUUCUGGUGUAGCAGUGAAAGGCGUAGAGAUCAGGAGGAACAUCCGUGGCGAAGGCGACUGCCUGGGCCAACACUGACACUGAGGCACGAAAGCGUGGGGAGCAAACAGGAUUAGAUACCCUGGUAGUCCACGCCCUAAACGAUGCGAACUGGAUGUCGGGUGCAAUUUGGCACGCAGUAUCGAAGCUAACGCGUUAAGUUCGCCGCCUGGGGAGUACGGUCGCAAGACUGAAACUCAAAUGAAUUGACGGGG